GAGGGUAUUGCUCAGUGGUAGAGCACGUGCUUAGCAUGUACAAGUCCUGGGUUCAAUUCCCAGUAUCUCCA
rnacentral:tRNA from 1 species